rnacentral:rRNA from 1 species
AUUGAACGCUGGCGGCAGGCUUAACACAUGCAAGUCGAGCGGAGCGAGGGUGCUUGCACCUUAGCUUAGCGGCGGACGGGUGAGUAAUGCUUAGGAAUCUGCCUAUUAGUGGGGGACAACAUUCCGAAAGGGAUGCUAAUACCGCAUACGCCCUACGGGGGAAAGCAGGGGAUCUUCGGACCUUGCGCUAAUAGAUGAGCCUAAGUCGGAUUAGCUAGUUGGUGGGGUAAAGGCCUACCAAGGCGACGAUCUGUAGCGGGUCGGAGAGGAUGAUCCGCCACACGGGGACGGAGACACGGCCCAGAAUCCGUCGGGCGGCAGCGAUGGGGAAUAUUGGACAAUUGGGGGAACCCUGAUCCAGCCAUGCCGCGUGUGUGAAGAAGGCCUUUUGGUUGUAAAGGACUUUAAGCGAGGAGGAGGCGCUCUAGGAUAAUACCCUAGAUGCGUGGACGUUACUCGCAGAAUAAGCACCGGCUAACUCUGUGCCAGCAGCCGCCGUAACAC